rnacentral:rRNA from 1 species
UACGGAGGGUGCAAGCGUUAUCCGGAUUCACUGGGUUUAAAGGGUGCGUAGGUGGGUUGGUAAGUCAGUGGUGAAAUCUCCAGGCUUAACUUGGAAACUGCCAUUGAUACUAUCAAUCUUGAAUACCGUGGAGGUCAGCGGAAUAUGUCAUGUAGCGGUGAAAUGCUUAGAUAUGACAUAGAACACCAAUUGCGAAGGCAGCUGGCUACACGAAUAUUGACACUGAUGCACGAAAGCGUGGGGAUCAAACAG